CCAGCAGCUGCGGUAAUUCCAGCUCCAAUAGCGUCUAUUAAAGUUGUUGCAGUUAAAAAGCUCGUAGUUGGAUUUCUGGCAGGAGCGUCCGGUCUCACACUCAGUGUGGGAACUUGGAUGUCUCUGGCCAUCUUUGGGGAUAUCCUGUUUGGCAUUAAGUUGUCGGGCAGGGGAUACCCAUCGUUUACUGUGAAAAAAUUAGAGUGUUUAAAGCAGGCUUAUGCCGUUGAAUAUAUUAGCAUGGAAUAAUAAGAUAGGACGUAGGUACUAUUUUGUUGGUUUGCGCACCCACGUAAUGAUUAAUAGAGACAGGCGGGGCUAUUCGUAUUGCAUUGUCAGAGGUGAAAUUCUUGGAUUUACGAAAGACUAACUUAUGCGAAAGCAUUUGCCAAGGAUGUUUUCAUUAAUAAAGAACGAAAGU
rnacentral:rRNA from 1 species